rnacentral:rRNA from 1 species
UACGUAGGGGGCGAGCGUUGUCCGGAUUUAUUGGGCGUAAAGAGCGUGUAGGCGGCCAGGUAGGUCUGCUGUGAAAACUCGAGGCUCAACCUCGAGACGUCGGCGGAAACCAUCUGGCUAGAGUCCGGAAGAGGAGAGUGGAAUUCCUGGUGUAGAGGUGAAAUUCGUAGAUAUCAAGCGGAACACCGGUGGCGAAGGCGGCCUUCUGGACAGUGACUGACGCUGAGACGCGAAAGCGUGGGGAGCAAACAGG